GAUUAAAUAAUUAAAUCUUUAAGACAAACUAGCCUCUCUUCAUCACCCCACCAACUACUUUAAUAUAAAAAGGCUAGUAAAUUAGCACACACUCACUUUUUUUUUUACACUUUUACUCUUUAUUUCUCUCUCUCAUACAGUGUUUCACUUGCAUACUCUCACUUUUAUGUUAAAAGUUAAUAAUGUAAAAUUUAUGUUACUUUUGUUAAUUUUAAUUAAUAAAAGUCAUAGAAAUAAAUUCAGUAUGUUACCCCUCAUAUCAUUAUUUUUAUUUAUUUAAUUUAACUUAAAAUAUCAACGUCAACAAGGAACAUCACAAUUCACCAUCUACCUACGAGUCCAUUUGGAUAUCAAGGUGUGAAAAACUUAACUGAUCUUUGCACGGCUCUUAUUGAAUUGACUGGAGUGGACAAUUUUAUAUGUAAAUCAAAAGUAGAUCGUCUUAAAAUACAAACAAAAAAUCCAGAUUCAUAUAGAACACUGGUACGGUUUUUAAAAGAACAAAAAGCGGAAUUUCACAACUACCAGUUAAAAAAAGACAAGCCUUUACGCAUAGUGAUCCGCAAUUUACAUCCUACUACUUCGGUUGAUACAAUAAAAAAUGAGCUUGAAAUUAGACUUUUUGAAGUUAGAACCAAAUGAUAAAUCGAAAGAAAUAUAUGACUUAUCCUCCUUAUUACAUACAAAGAUUAAAGCCGUACAAACCCAAAACAAUAAGUCAAUGCAUAAAUUGUCAAUAUUAUGGUCACACAAAAGCCUACUGUGGUUACCCGCCGAGAUGUGUGCGCUGUGGAGCCGAUCAUAUGUCGUCUAACUACUCAAAGCCUCGCGAACAACCUCCAAAAUGUGCACUGUGCUCAAGUAGCCACCCUGCCAAUUACAAAGGAUGUUCAGUUUACAGAGAUCUGCAACAACGAAAAAAA